rnacentral:rRNA from 1 species
UACAGAGGGUGCAAGCGUUAAUCGGAAUUACUGGGCGUAAAGCGUGCGUAGUCGGUUAUUUAAGUCGGGUGUGAAAUUCCCGGGCUCAACCUGGGAAUUGCAUUCGAUACUGGAUAGCUAGAGUUCGGCAGAGGGAAGCGGAAUUUCGGGUGUAGCGGUGAAAUGCGUAGAUAUCCGAAGGAACAUCAGUGGCGAAAGCGGCUUCCUGGACCAGAACUGACGAUCAGGCACGAAAGCGUGGGGAGCAAACAGG